ensembl:lncRNA
CGGGGAGGAGAUGGAUAGCGAUGGCUGGAGGUUCUCUUCCCUUCAGGAAAGAAGCUCCUGCUCUGGCUCCGCCAAGGCUUUGCUUCUCUCCUAGAAAGAAGCCAUUCCAGACGUUUGGGCUGCUGCUGCGUAAUCUCUCCUUGGAAUGCUGGGGACAUCACACCCGAAAUGCUUGGGCGUUUGCUUUGUUGUUCAACAGACGCCUGCAGUUCCCGUUCUGGCAGCGGCUCGGUGCAAGCGCAGGCCCAAGGGAGAUGUCAGCUGCGGAGACGUGCCCUUCCUCCACAGCACGGGAAAGCAAGUCGGGGAGAAGAGCUGGAGGCAGCUGAACCUAUAUGAGAAAAUGGAACUGAGAGACCCUGCGAAGGAGGAGAUCCCUGAGAAAAAGCGCAACACCAGCCAGAAGCUCAGCCUCGGAUACCUGCACAUGGCCGUCAGACAGAAGACGGGCAUGAAGACGAGAGCAGGGUCAGACCCUAAAGAACAGCAAGGCCACCUUGGCUAUGGAGCAGACAGUGGACCUGAAAUUGCAACAAGAAACAGGUACACACACACACUCACACACACACUCAGGGGAGAAACCCCUUCACCAGGGGCUUCUACCCCACGCACGGGGUCCCCUCCUCAGCCGGAGGGCACCCCAGUUCCACCCGCACGCAAGGGGAACCCUUGAAAACUUCAGGGCUAAGCCCCAUCUCACCUCCACGCACGGGGUCCCCUCCUCAGCCGGAGGGCACCCCAGUUUGACCCACACGCAAGGGGAACCCUUGAAAACUUCAGGGCUAAGCCCCAUCUCACAUGCAUGCACGGGGUCCCCUCCUCAGCCGGAGGGCACCCCAGUUUCACCCACAUGCAAGGGGAACCCUUGAAAACUUCAGGGCUAAGCCCCAUCUCACCUCCACGCACGGGGUCCCCUCCUCAGCCGGAGGGCACCCCAGUUUGACCCGCACGCAAGGGGAACCCUUGAAAACUUCAGGGCUAAGCCCCAUCUCACUGGCACGCACGGGGUCCUCUCCUCAGCCGGAGGGCACCCCAGUUUGACCCGCACGCAAGGGGAACCCUUGAAAACUUCAGGGCUAAGCCCCAUCUCACCUCCACGCACGGGGUCCUCUCCUCAGCCGGAGGGCACCCCAGUUCCACCCGCACGCAAGGGGAACCCU